rnacentral:rRNA from 1 species
GACGAACGCUGGCGGCGUGCCUAAUACAUGCAAGUCGAGCGGACAGAAGGGAGCUUGCUCCCGGAAGUUAGCGGCGGACGGGUGAGUAACACGUGGGCAACCUACCCUGUAGAUCGGGAUAACAUCGAGAAAUCGGUGCUAAUACCGGAUAAUCAUUUGAAGUGCAUGCUUCGAAUGUAAAAGUUGGCUCCGGCUAUCACUACGGGAUGGGUCCGCGGCGCAUUAGCUAGUUGGUAAGAUAAGGGCUUACCAAGGCAACGAUGCGUAGCCGACCUGGGAGGGUGAUCGGCCACACUGGGACUGAGACACGGCCCAGACUCCUACGGGAGGCGGCAGUAGGGAAUCUUCCGCAAUGGACGAAAGUCUGACGGAGCAACGCCGCGUGAGUGAUGAAGGUUUUCGGAUCGUAAAGCUCUGUUGUUAGGGAAGAACAAGUGCCGUUUGAAUAAGGCGGCACCUUGACGGUACCUAACCAGAAAGCCACGGCUAACUACGUGCCAGCAGCCGCCGUAACAC